rnacentral:lncRNA from 1 species
CCUUAUUUAGGUAAAGGACUGUUAGUAAAUCGAGAAAUCAGUCAAAUGUCUAUAUUUAUAUUAUGCAAGAAGACGCUGAACACCUGUUGCGUGUUGUUACAGACGAUCCAGCCAAUCAAACGGCGAGUUGCUGGUUGCUUGACAACAGGCUGGCCAAUGAGAGUCGUGUUUGUUUAUUUUGAAGAACAGAGGUGCAUUUCAAAUCAUCUGAUCAUCUCCUCUCUCUCUCUCUCUCUCUCUCCUCUAAACACGGAUCAGUCUAAUCCGCGAGCAUAUGCUGGUCUGUCUGCGGUCGGGUCCGUCUGCUGCGUGAUGGCCGAGUGCUAGCCCCUCUCUCUCUCUGGCUCGUUCAUUUGGAUGAACAGGACGCUGGAGAAUCCCAUCCGAGCUUAAGGUUUCAUGGGAGAUUGGUGGACUCCUGCAAUGAUGCCAGAUCCAUCUCUCGGUGAGUAGCAAACAUGGGAACAUUGUGUCUGGGACUCUUGGCUUGAUCUUGUUAAGAGACUGAGCUAAUUUAAGCAUGGUUUGUAAUUUAAUCUGUGAAAUGUUGCAUUACAUUGAAGCUAGUGUUUGAUUUGAUUUAAUAUUUUACAGUGUUAAAUAAUGUUUCUCCAUGUUCUCUCUUUCGUUCUGUAAUGUAUUGGAAGGAAUAGUUUACCCCAAAAAGAAAAGUGUCUUUUUUUCAUCCCCAUGUCUUUCCAACCCUGUAUUCUGUUACUCUUUUCCCAUGGGACACAAAUUAAUCCUUUUUGAAGAAUCUUCAUGUAGCUGUUUCCCAUAAAACAGACAGUUUAUAGUGACCAUAUCUGCAAAACUUAACAGAUAUGUGUAUUAUUUGUUGUUGUAUAGGGGAAAAAAGCUUUGUAAAGAUCGUUCAAAAAUGGGAAAAAAAAAUUAGGAGACAUAAUAAAACACGUACUGGGGAAUAACAUGAGGUUGAGCAAAUAAUGACACAGUUUUUGUUUUAGUGAACUAUUAUUUAAAUUAGGGGCGAAUUCACCGAAGUACAGACUCUAUCUUGUCCUUGUCCUCCUCCACUUUUGACUCUAUCACAGCAAGUUAUGAAAUAUAGUGUAAGGAAUUAAAUGGACUUUGGUUUAUGUUUAACUACUUGCAUUAACUGCAAAGCAAAGAGUGCUGUUAUUACAGCAUUUACUUUGUCCCCGCAAGGCUCCAUUUCUUGUGGUCAUGCACAUGUAACUUCAAAUGUGGUGCUUCAACCCUGUUGGACUAAUUUGAGGGACAGGGCAGAUGUACUUGUGCCUUUAAGACACUGUAAUUUUAGCUCUUAAGAUUAUUUAGAGCAGGGGUGCGCAAACUUGGUCCUCGAGGGCCUGUGUCCUGCAGAGUUUAGCUCCAACCCCAAUUCGACACACCUGAACCAACUAAUCAAGCUCUUACUAGGCAUACUAGAAACUUCCCAGCAGGGUUGUGUUAAAGCAAGUUGCAGCUAAACUCUGGAGGACACCGGCCCUUCAGGAUCGAGUUUGGGCACCCCUGAUUUAGAGUAAUGUUCCUGUCUUCAAGUGAACCUAUGGGAGCACCCUCCAGGUGUGACGAUUGUCUGAUGCCUGUAUAGAAUGGUGUGGAUUCAUUGGCUGAUUGCUGUGUCUUUGUAUAUCUCCUUGUCCUUGUUUCAUCAUGAGUAAGGACACACAGGAGAAGUGUGUUAAGAGUUUUUUUUUCUCUCUUCAUUCUCAAGCCACACUUAAAGGUCCCCUGAAAUGCCUUGAAACAAGCAGCGUUAUUCUGUGUGGUGAUGUAAUUUCAACUGAAACUGGAGGAGAGGGCGGGACAUAUUAAGCAGCCCCGCCCCCUUUUUAAAGUAGCCAAUAGCGUUUUAAUUAUGUCUGUUCGGGCCAGAGACAUUGAGCUCAGUAAAUCCACAUUUUACGUCUAAUAGAUUACAUCAUAGAUUCAAUAUGAAACUCUUAGUAAAACAAAAUAAUGGUCAUAUCAUGCUGAGGCUGUGUAGUUGCCGACUGAUCCGCUCCGUACCAUCGCAUCUCUGGACCGGAGACAAAGUCUGGAUGUGAGCUGCCACGGUUCGUGUGAAAAAUCGUGAAACCAGACCUCAUUUACACCAAUCGAAAGCAUAUUUACACUGUCUGAAUCGAUCCCUAUCACCUACACUGUGCACUACGAGGCAUUCACUGUAAAGGGAAUACUACAUGGUGAACAAAUGACCGAUCUCAGCCGCAGCUUCAGCAUCUAUAUUUAUAGUGCAGCAGGUGGGCGCUUCGGAUUCUAGAGAGCAUUUGAUUGGUCAGAGAUUCGAUGAGAAGAUUAAGUAUCAUGUGAUGUCAAAAAAUUUGUUGAGCCGUAGAGGCAGUCAAAGAGCUCAGAAGAGUGACUGACUUGGCAUACGGCUUGCACGAUUGGUCAUUCUGUGGCAGGGUUGCUGGGACCCAGAGACAUCUAAAAGGCCUAAAUGUACAGUACUGGGACGAGUUUGCGCAAACUAUUUCCCAGUACAAUUUAAAGGGUUGUGUUCGCACCGACAGUGUGUACUAGGGAGUGACGUAAGCCGGUCGACAGCGAUGUCAUUUGUGUGUGGCGUUCAUCAACAUUAAAAAAGAACAACAUUAACAACAGGAGGAUGAAGGAAUGCUGUGAUCGCAGCUGUGUUUUUGUUGUGUCUCGUGGGUUUCACAUUAAUGGACAUGGAAUGUCGAUGUAUACGUAAAGUGAUUGAAUGAACGGAAAGGAGGACUAAGAAUCUCCAACGACAACUGGCAGCGCUACAUUUGCUACAAGUGCCUGCACUUCAGCGUCUGUAUAUGUAUCGCUGUUCACCAUACUUGUGAGAUAAGUUGAAACAAUGUUUAAAUGGUGUUUUAAAUCAUGGCGGGUGAGGGCAUUUUCGAACGCGUCUGGCCAAUCAAUGUCUACUUACGUCAUGAGUAGUACCAGUUGUGCUGGUUAGACCCUGCUCCAGAGUAGGAGCUAAUUUGGUUAUUGAAAAAGGCAGUCCGGUACUAAAAUUGCACCUAGUUCCAGUGGUGCGAAAACGCCCAAAAGUGGGUAUUUCUACAAUUAGUUCUGGUACUAUGAAAAGGUUCCGGCGGUUCGAAAGUUCCUUAUGGUUGAAUCUCACAGAUAUGUGUGAGAAAGAAGUCCUGGAUGCUCUUGUUGCUCAGUCUGGGCUUUUUGGCGAUGCAAUUAAUUUUAUAUUGUCCAUUAAUGUGGAAAUUAGUCUUUGGCUUUUCAUAUACACAAAAUAUACAAAACGGGUUGCUGAAUGACGGGGAUCACAACAGAGGGCAAGCCCUGCUUUAGAGAAUGGCCAUUCUUCUCGCAGUCCCUUGAGAUUCUGUUUUGUUAGUUUUGCCAUUUUUCACAUCUCAAACAAGGUCAAUCUUUUUGUUUUUGUGUUCCAUAUGUCAAUGCCUACGGAGCACAGAAGUUUACGAUGUUGUGCUUUUAAGAAGCUUCGCCCCUAUGGUGCAUGAUGAACCCAUUAUAUUGAGUCAGGCCAUACGCUCUUCCAUUCUGGGAUGGGUUUUACCUGCUGCUCAGCCACUUAAGGGUCCCAUUAGGGAAGGCUUGCUACAGAUAGAGGCACAGAGCGUUUUGGUACACUCGUAUCUCAUGCACUGAUUGAAGACGUAGAAGGCUUUCUUCGAUCUGACCAUUGCAUUGCCCUCACAUGAGUCUUAGUGACCCUCUUUCUCAGGUUUCAACCAUAAAAUGUCUGAUGCCUCUGUUCAUUUGGCAGAAUGACAACAUCUGCUGAAUGUCUCUUGUUGGGUUCUGCUAACCAUAUAAAAGAGGUGCACUACCCCAUUACCUCAUUUCUCCCCACAAAAGCUCAGAAAGCUCAGAUUUUAUGGCAGAAAACCGACUCCCUGAUAGAGGAAAGGAGCUGUAGAUAAAAUGCUUCCUCCCAAGGGGGAAUCUGGUUUCUACAUCCAGUAUUUGUUAGUGCUUGAAAGGAUGGCGGUUUGUGCCUUUGGGCAAAGUCUGUCACUGCAAGGCGAGUUAUGAUAAGGGUCUUGUGCAACGAUUCUGUUGAGUUUGGAUGGUGAUCAUCUCAUGUGGCACAUAAACUACCUGGAGGUGAUGGUUGUUUUUUUAUUUUUUAUUUAUUUUAUUUUUUUUUUUUAGUUUUUAGUACUAUUUCCCGUCCAGAUGAAUGUCAUGUGGUCAUCAGGAUGGACAGCAUCAGUGGUCUGUUACAUAAAUCACUAGGGGCAAAAACUUCUGUCGCUGGGGGUUGGGUUUUGCAUCUUUAGAGCAUUGGUCUGCUUUGCCAGAGGUUUGAGGAACUGGAAAGCAGUUCUCACGAGGGUCCAGGUGGACAGAGUGCUGCUGUCACCAUUUUGGCCAUUUCACCAUAAUGUUCUCAGAUUUGGUGUCUCUCCUGGAGAAGCUUCCUUGGAAAAUACCAAUCAGAGCGGGUUUACACUUUCAGGCUUGGGGCAGCAUGUGGGAUCCCUGGCAGGAAAUAUGGAAACUGGUUUAGUUUACAGAGCCCCCUUUGACUGGAGCUCUGUAAUGAAUUGUAUCUUUUGACCCAGAGAUUAUGGAGAUACAAUCUAGGACACAGUGGUGGCUUUUUGCGUAAUGUGCAGAGAGCGCAAUCACAGUCCGGCUCCCUGACCUGUUGGUUCAGUGCUGUCAUUGCUUCUGGAGGAUUUUUCUUUCUUUUCCAUUUUCUCCUCUUUUCUUUGAGUCACAGAAGAAUGCGCGACAGCAUAUGUUUUGUCCUGUGAGGGUGAUUAACGUUGACUGCAUGAGCCAGUGGUGUAAAUUUGAUCAGUUGUUUGUGUGUUUUAGGGGAUGCAACAAGGGUGUUGCCACUAUGAAACAACGGAUGUGCAUUGGGUGAAAGAUGAGACUUGCUUAUGUUGUGCAUGGGUUAUCUUUACCUCUCGGCAUUCAGGCUCACUCUAAUAGAGGUGUUGCUGCUUCUCAGGCUUUAUUGAAGGGCUCGACUUUAUAUAUUUGUGGUGGCAGGUUCGGCCUCUUUGCAGACUUUUAUCGGAUCUUAUAAUCUGGAUGUUGACUUCACUCAGGUUUUAUCUGUUUGAACAGGUGUCAUAUUUUUCUGUCAGUAU